UACGUAGGCAGCGAGCGUUGUUCGGAGUUACUGGGCGUAAAGGGUGUGUAGGCGGUUCUUAAGUUUGGCGUGAAAUCUCCCGGCUCAACCGGGAGGGUGCGUCGAAUACUGAGGGACUAGAGUACGGGAGAGGAAAGUGGAAUUCCUGGUGUAGCGGUGAAAUGCGUAGAUAUCAGGAGGAACACCGGUGGUGUAGACGGCUUUCUGGACCGUAACUGACGCUGAGACACGAAAGCGUGGGGAGCAAACAGG
rnacentral:rRNA from 1 species